GCGCUACUAGCUCAAGUGGUAGAGCAACUGACUCUUAAUCAGUGGGUUCGGGGUUCGAGUCCCUGGUGGCGCA
rnacentral:tRNA from 1 species